ensembl:lncRNA
UUGGGGAAAAUGGGUUUAAUUCAUUACCAAUUAAAAAUACAGUAGGAUGGUGAGAAACAAAGACAAAACCUAAAACACAUCCCCCCACCUCAUUCUUCCCAGGUUUAACUACUCUCCUUCGCUCCUAACUCUUCUACCUUCUUCUGCAGGAGAAUCUCCCCUCCAGCGGCUGGAGUACCUCUCCCCCUACUUCUUAACUGACACUGGUGUCUGCAGGGCUGGUUCUCAGAUUCUUCUCAGUCCUCCAACAGCUGCUGUGCAGCAUUUUUUCUCUUUAUUAAAUAUGUUAUUAUGGAGCCGCAACCAUCUCAGUUGAGGGACUCCACUGUGCUGUGCGGUGGGUCCGUUGGAGCUGGCUGGAACUGCUUGUGUGCAGGCCAGGCAAAUCCUCUUCUCAUGCAGGCCACCUCUACAGCCCCCACUUAGCAGCAUCUGGGUGCCUAUACCCAGUACAAGUUCUGCUUGGCAGAAUUCUAAACUUGAUUGCUCCAAGGCCAGAAGGAUACACAGGAAGGAACAAAAAGAGGGUGAGCUUCCUAAAUUUGCUGUUGAGCUGGGAUCCUGGUCCUGACAUUUCAUGCUGAUACUGAGUAGCGUCAUUCUUAUUUUCAGAGCUUUGAAGUAGUAGAUGAAACAACUGCUUUAGAAGAGCCAAUUAUUAUUCUGAAAAGGUCAAAAUUGUUUCCACCAGCUCUCUGCCACUCUUUACACCUUUUACAAAAGAGCUGAAGCAUUGGUAAUGAUUAGUAUGCAGUAAAUAUUGCCUUCUUGGUUUUCUUUACAACUCUAAGAAGACAGCAGUUUAAAUAAAAUACUUUUACUUAGUUUUUAAUGAUAUAUUAAUUAUUUUUGAUGUAUAGGCAGAAGAGAAGUACAACAUAAUUAGGCUUGAAUUUUAAUUGGUAAACUCAGUAACAUAGUCUGUGCAAAUGCGUGACUAUAAAUAUGCAAGGAAUGAUGCAGAACUUGGCUAUAAGCAUCAGUUGGGUUAACAGACUUGAAGAUAUAAAUAAGCAACCAUUCAAAACAGUAUUUCAGGUAUGCUCUUCUGACAAUGAAGGAAGAUGCUAGGAAUCCAGACCCUGUGAAAACUGCAUGAACAUGAUAUAAAAUGCAUGCACAAGCAAAUAAAGAAUUCAUUGUGAUCAUUCAGUGCUAGCAGCAAUGGAAACAUUAUCAGUGAACUUGGUAUCGCAAAUAUGGAAGACUAUCAGAUAGUAAAGAAUAAGCUUUUCUGUAGAAGUAUUAAUAGGGAAGGAAUGGCUUAAUCUCACUAAUCUUCUCUUUACAAAUCCUGUGUCUUACGUCCCUGGGGCACUGCUGUAUCAGUCCCUGGCAAUCUGUGCUAUUCGGUAACGUGGUGGGUUUGAAAACAUGCAUAUAUUAGAACAGCAAUACAUUUUACAUAUUGUGUUAGCUUAGGAACAUUCCUACUUUUGUGUCCUAGAAAAUAGCAGAAUGUCCAUGCUGUAGUCGAUUUGUAUGUAAUAUAUACAAUGUGCUAUUCAUAGAGGUGUACAAUUUAAUAAUCAGAUAUUCAGGAUCACCUACCAACAUGUAAUGUGGGAUGCACUGUCCUCCAAGACUGUGACAAAAUAAAUUUUUAUUUUCAAAGUACAGAAAUAUAUUUUACUUCAUCAGCAAUUGCUUUACCUUGUACAUUCAGCUGUGAUGGGGAAAAAAAAAUCCUUGCAAAUGCCAAAAAGACUUUAUGGGAGCAACUAGUAUAUGCCUUGUUGUUUAACCCACAUCGUGAGGAGGAACUAUAGUGAGAUACAUCAUUUGCCUGAAACACCAGAAGCACAUGUUUAAAAACUGUGAUGCACCAUGUAGCAAAGUAAGAAUCCAGGCAAGGAGGCCAGCUUGGGACUGUGAGGAGCACAGGAGGGCUUUGUGAGCAGAUAAUGAGAAGGAACACCCAUGGUGCUCAGACCACACUCCAUUUGCCUUCAAGGCAGAAUGUUUCAUUGAAGGAUAAGACCUGUACAAGCAGCAUUUGCACUUCAAUUCCAUCAAAGCUGUUUACAUUUUCACGGCCCAGUCUGAUCCUGUCUUUCUGUCCCUGUUUGGCAAGCCCAGCUCCUACAGAAAUGUCUCCUCAUUAGAACAUUUUUACUAUAUUUUCUUUCUUUUUUUCAGUUUAGAUGCUUUUCCCCUACACUUUUCUUCCUUUUGUUUCUCUUCUCUGAUGUACCUCAUAUAGUUUCUUUUGUUUUUCUACCUUUCACCUCUGUAUUAUAUACUUACUUUGCAGUUCUUACUACCCCAACAACAAACAGAUCAGUUUGUUUCUCUUCCUCCCCUUUCUUUUGCCCUUGCCUUGUAUUUUCUUCUCUCCUCCCGUAUACUAGAAAUUGAGCUUCUUUUCAGCCAGCUGAGUGUUAGCAUGACCAAGUAACUUGAACUCAAAAGUGGGGUGGCAAGAAGUUAGACUGUUAGCUAAACAGAAUGAUGAAGAACAGUAAGUAUUGCUAUACUCUUAAAGGCCAUGUCAGAUUACGCUGUAACAAUAUGAAAUGCAGUAGUACCAGGACUUCAAAAAUGCUGCGAAUCUCUUAUUUACUUCAUCCAGUUUCUCAAAUUACCAUAGAGGCUGAGGAAUUCUUUUUUUGAAGGCAAGCUAAGUUCUUUGAUUUCUUUGGUUUAUUAAGGGACUUCCUGUCCCAUGCAGAUCUCAUUUACAUUUUUUUUAUAUUUUCAGGAAAGAAUAAAAGGCCAUCAAAUGAUGCACACACAACCAUGCGAGUCACGUGUAACCACACUUACAAGCAAACUCCCAGAAAAGGGGCAAACUUUCCAGAUCUUCCUGUUGUUCAUCCUGACUUUCUGAUAAUUGCAGAAAAUAAUGCUUUAUUAGAGUGAAUUCAUCAUCUCUGCAGCAAGAAAAUGUUCACUAUGUUCAAGAGGAUGUGAUAAGCAAGAAAUCAAUUAAGGCAGUUUAGCGUUCCAGUCUGACUUUGAACUGGAACAAAUCCUUCUGCAGGCUCAGCAGUGCUCAGAUUCAAUGACUGGUGUAAAAGCUUGAGGGAAUCGUUCCCACCCUCUUAGUACAGAAAGGAAACUUGAAAGGAAGUCACAGCAGGCUACAUGUGGCAUGCUUCAGUCUGUAUUUUCACUUAGUCAGUCUGUAUUUUCACUUAGAGAGUAUUUGAAUCUACAAGAUACCUGAUGAGCUGGUUAUUUCCUUGAUCAAUUGCAGAGAGCUGCUGAAAUCCUUUUGCUUAUGGCAUCUUCAGUGUUGUCACUGAAGACAUUUCUUCUGAUUACUACAGCAUUCCAUCACCAUCCCAUCUCUUCAUGGCUGAUGAUAGGUGAUGUUCUCCAGAUGACUAUAUUAUGUGCAUGCAAGCUACAGCUUUUCCAGGAAGGGCAAUCCUUUGUACAAACUGUAUUAGAAAAUCUCUAGAUUUUCAGAUUAUCCAAAACUUGAAAUCUUGCUGCAUACUACAGACAAUAUUAUUUUAGUAUCACACAAUAUUAGAAAACUGGUUUGCUAUAGAAGAAUGACAGCUUUAAUGUAGAAAACAGAAUUAGAGGUUAUCAUUGGAGAUCUCAGUCAUGAAUGUGGCUGUAAUAUCCAGACAUCAGAAGAUAAACAGGAAUACCUGUAAAAAAAUUGGACCUCAGUUUUUUAAACUUAAGGUACACAGUGAUGAGUUUAAUAAACUUCAUAAGAGUAGUCAGUAGUUUUCUCUAUCAGAGCUUCCUAUUGACGACUUGUCUAGAUAAACUCUUCCUUUCAUGUGUGGAAGAUACUCCCUAUUAAAUGUUUAUCUUAAUUGGGAUCUGUGCCACUUUAAUGAGGUCUUGACUGAUUGCCUCCCUGAAAUGGUCUGGAGUUCUGGCUGGGGGAAUCCUCUCAGCCUAUGUUUGGCUUGCCUAAGUCAGUGCUUAGUAUGUUCCUGGGUAUAUUUCCAUGGUGUGUAGAGGUCUAACAACCCUCUGGGCAACAGAACUGAGAAUCUCUUGGCAAUGAUUCCUCCCAAAACUUGCAUUCAGAAAGUGCAGGAGAGGAAAAGAAGAGAUGACAGUUACAGACAAACAUGGUUUCUGUUGUGUUUGAACAGCAUGGGGCUUAAACAACAGCAGCAGACUGACUGAUACCUGAGUCCCUUGUAAUUUGCCAGUCAGCACGGCCAGCCUGCCUUUGGGAUAAAAGAUGCUUCACUGAGUGUAUUCAGAACAACCGCCUUUUGCAAGAAUAUCAGGGUAUAUAUAGUGCCUUGAAAUAGGCAUAGCACCAGCUCCCUGGCCAUGAAGGUUUUGGCACAUCAUUGUUUUCUUAUCCCAAAGCUCCUCUAACGUGGUAGAAAAGAGUGCAGUAGUUUGGCAACAAUAGUCUCUUCUGCGCUUAAGUGUGGGUCUAUUCAAUCCUGUUUUACCAUGGAAGGUGCCAGUUUAUCCAUUAGGUAGUGUUCGUUGAAAAAGAUAUGCUUUUCUCCACAGGAAGCUCACCUCGUACAUGUCCACAGAUCUUCAAAGAUCUUUUCUGCUGAUUGGUGGCACAAGGUACAAAUCCAAAUUGUCACAGCAUGACUCAAAGUCCCAGAGUUAGAUUGUUACAUCUUACCACUCAAUUACCUUUAGUAUUAAAACAUAUUUAAGUUCUGCUGAGGAAGCUGAGCACAAGCAAAAUAAAACAGGAUCAUCUGGUUCUUCUUUGCGUAGGGGUAGCUUGUCAAAAUCUUGAGAGAGACUUUGUAAAACCACAUCACACAAAAUUAGGUUCAAUAAACAGUAGCUAAAGACAGAAAUCUUUCUUGCUUUGAUAGAAGUAUGCAGAUUUUGCAAUUUCUCAUUUUAGCUCUACAGUGUACAAUAAGCAUCCAAAAAGCUUUGUUUUAUAUAUUGGGUGGAGAAAGUGCACUUAAUACCACAUUUUCCUUAUUAAAAAAUCAUAAAGUGAGAGAUCCUUAUGAUUUCUUUAAUUAUUAAGUGUGUGUUUGCAGUGCUGCAAUCUUCUAGGGUCUUGUUAAAUGAGCAAACAAAAAGAAAAAUGGAUUUUCGCUCCGUGCCAUGUCAAUUCAGAGGUCCUCGAGGCAUUUAUUGCUAUAGAAAUACCAAUAAAUUUAAUCAGCUGUUCAAAUGUCCUUUGGGGUCUUUUAAGGUUUGGUGGGGUUUUUUUGUUGUUGGGUUUUUUUGGUUGUUUUGUUUUGUUUUUCUGUCAUCACUGCAUUACAGAUCUGAAUAUUUACCUUAAUUUAACAUUUCUCAUAUUUAAGUGGUCUUGACUGGCAUGUCUUACUUUAAGGGCUCUCUAAGUGUAUUGCGUAUAGUAUAAUGUCAAGUCACUAAAGUUUUGGAGGAAAUACAAAACUGAUCAAUAUAUGAAUAAAUUCAUGUUUACCAUGUUUUUGACCUUGGAUUGUUACUGUGCAGUGGAUGCACAUACAUCUUAUGUGUGUGAUGUGUAGUAGUAACACAGAAUCCAGAGUAAUUGUUAGGAGAGCAUCCACCUGUGUGUUUUAAGCAAAACCUUCACUAGUGAAGUGAGAAAUGUGAUUUCAUGCAGAUUUGUAACACACAAACUUCAGCCUCUGAAUGCUGUAAAAUGCUAUGUGGAAAUGACUUAUUCCAUUGCUUUCUUUGGUCCUCUUUUUGGGUGGAGGAUACACAGACAAGCAUAGCUCUCAGUAGCAUGUUGAACAUCUGGAGAACUUCUCUGGAAGGACUGCAGGCAUCUGCGGUCAAUGAUAAAUAGACAAGUGGGUGCAUGUCAAACCAGAGCAGCGCAGUGCUGCUGCAGGAGUUGUACCUUAUUUUUCCUGUAAACACCCUGGACAAUAACUGUUGAACAGUACUCUUGGUAGGAAUUUUUUCUUUAAUGGAAGAUGCAUUCAGGGUUGUACAUUUAGCCCAGAGAGUAUGUGGUGUUGCUUUCUGUUUUCAUUUCAAACUUCUUGCAUUAGACCUCAUUGCUUUUCUCUGCUCACCAGGAAGCUUGUCUUCACAUGAGGAGGAUGAUGAAGAGGUUGCUCUGUAGCUUCAACUUUUCACUUAUCCCCUGGAAGUCCACAUGGAUAAGAUACAGGAACUGCAUUUCUACACAUUGGUAAACAAGAGUGAUAAUGGCUAAAAUAGGUUAUCAUGCCUCUUACUACAUAUUCAGCUACUGCCAGCAAAUGUUUACAAGCAAAACUGUAUAAAAAAUAGUGAGAAACCAGAUAUAGAAUCAUAGAAUCAUAGAAUCGUAAGGGUUGGAAAGGACCUUAAGAUCAUCUAGUUCCAACCCCUCUGCCAUGGGCAGGGACACCUUGCCCUAAACCACAUGGCUCAAGGCUCUGUCCAACCUGGCCUUGAACACCGCCAGGAAUGGAGCAUCCACAACCUCCCUGGGCAACGCAUUCCAGUGCUUCACCACCCUCACUGUAAAGAACUUCUUCCUUAUAUCUAAUCUAAACUUCCUCUGUUUAAGUUUGAACCCAUUACCCCUUGUCCUACCACUACAGUCCCUAAGGAAGAGUCCCUCCCCAGCAUCCUUGUAGACCCCCUUCAGAUACUGGAAGGCUGCUAUGAGGUCUCUACGCAGCCUUCUCUUCUCCAGGCUGAACAGCCACAACUUUCUCAGCCUGUCUUCAUACGGGAGGUGCUCCAGCCCUCUUAUCAUCCUCGUGGCCCUCCUCUGGACUCGCUCCAACAGCUCCAUGUCCUUUUUAUGUUGAGGACACCAGAACUGUACGCAGUACUCCAAGUGGGGUCUCACAAGAGCAGAGUAGAGGGGCAGGAUCACCUCCUUCGACCUGCUGGUCACGCUUCUCUUGAUGCAGCCCAGGAUACGGUUGGCUUUCUGGGCUGCAAGCGCACACUGCCGGCUCAUGUUAAGCUUCUCGUCAACCAACACCCCCAAGUCCUUGCUGACCCAUUUCCUUUGGCAGUUAGUUUCAUUGUCGAUGUGUCAGAAUAUGGAUGCAGGCCACUUCAUAUACAAAAUCCUUGUAGUGCUCAGUGUGUUUUUCGUAUGACCUCAUUGAAGAGACCUGAUUUUCAGCUAAAACUGAUCAUUUUAAUGAAAGCGUACUGAAUCAUAAUGGCUGCAGUGAAUAGCGCUGGGUACCUCAUCAAACAGGCAAUGGAUAAAAAUGCCUUUAUGCCCUGAUCCUGUACUUACAUGCCUGAGUUAAACAUGCCCAUGAGUGUUUGUGUGAUGAGAGCUUAUGUCAGCAAGUUUUCCUUUGCAGUGCUUGACCUGUGUUUUCCCUUGUAGAGAGAAGUAAAAAGAAGCUCAGUUUCCUAAUAGAUUUGGAAAAAAAAUUAGUAUCUUCUGUUUCUCACAAGUUGUUAGCUGGCCUGAUACAUGAAAUACUGAGGCAGAGCUGCUCUUAUAUAGCAUGGAGCUCAAAUAACAGUUGUUUUGCUUACCUGAGCUCCUCAGGACUCAUACUAGUUCAUGGUAUAGAUCCCGUCCCCUCUUUCCCUACUCCCUUGGCUAAUUUUCUCACUUCUUCAGUCCAGGACCCCCUCCUAGGUUUUUACCUCAAAUAGUACAUUCUGGUACUGCUGCUGAAUCAAACAGCUAGUUGUUUGUUGUCUCCUAAUCAGGAAGCAGCUGAUUAGGAGACAAGUUCCUAUGUUAAUGUCUCUGUGCUCCAAACACUGGCAUCAGCUGAACAUGAGUGCCUAUUUUAUAUAUGCUCUGUGGACGAAUCAGCUAGUAUGCAGCAGCAUGAAAUGGAUUUUCAAGAUCUUCAAAAAUAGAAUACAUGAAAUAGUUCACUUGGAGUGCUUAUAACCAAGACCAGUCUUGAUUUAAACUGCUCAGGUGUGGGAUUGUAAUGUAGCUGUGUGAGCCAUUUAAAAAUUAUAAUUAAAGGUUUUAAGUUCACUGAGCCCUCCCUCUCGCUUGAUUAAUCAGGGAUUUAUACAUAUAUAAUGACUUUAACUGACUGAGGGGGUAAUUUAUGUCAUGAUAUGCAUGAUAUAUGGAUCUAAAGAGAGGGAAAAGAGAACCAUCUGUUCUCUAGAAAACUGUCCACUGUCAGAAGGAUUCAGGAGUUAUGUUUGAAAAAUGUGUUCAGAAAACCAAGAAUAAAUUUAUCUCAAUUUCUUGUGCUGUCUGGAUGACAUUCUCAUUGGGUAUGUAUUGACCAAGAAACAAGGUUAGGAACUUGAAUUUAUAAGUUUUUGCAAUGCUUCAUAUUCUGUAAGUUGUUCAAAAGGCUGUAUUUUAUGUUUAUAUUUUAAAAUGCUUUUUGUUCUGAUCUUCACAGUGCUCAUGGAACACUGGUUUUGCAGCUACAGGAUGGAUACAGAACACACUAAACAAGUUUAAACACUACCUGCACCAAACAAGAAAAUGGGAGUGGUAUUUUCUGGGAGUAGGAAGGUUUUAUUUAGGGCAGGGAUUUAAAAGCAGAGGUAUCAUUCUUUGUGCCACUUAGGUACAUACCUAGCACUGUUUGUCAAGUGAGAAAGCUCCUUGUACCCUUCUCUUCUACAAUGUGAGCAAGUGAACAAUCUUAAAAACAUUUAUGCAUAUUCUUAAAUUUGCACAUGCAAACUUUGUAUGAUCCUCAACAGGACGUCUCAUGCAUGCAAACUCAAGCAAAUGCAGAGGCACUUGUGGGAUCAGGGUUUAACUUUCUGCCCGAGGGGGAAAAGUCAUAGGUGUGUGCAGCAAUUAAAAUACGAAGGUGGACUGCUGUGUGUGCUCCAGAAACUAUAGACAGCAACUGCAAAAGCAGUUGAAAGUUCUUUUAUGUUCUACUUUUUUUUUUUUUUUUUUUUUUUUUAAUACUGCAGGGCUGUUGGGUUUUAAAUUAAAUAUAUCUGUAGCAGGCUCGGUAUUUAACAGUAUGCUGGAGAAAAUAUUUUCCUGCCAAGGCUGCUAGCAAAGUCGGUGUCUCCCGGACACUCUCCGGCGUCUCCUAAAGCCCUCCCACGCGGAGUACGAACGCAAAACUCGCUCCUUCGCGGACAGGACUGCCGG